NNNNNNNNNNNNNNNNNNNNUGAGGGGCCCCUUUCGCCACCCGCGGGCCCCAGCCUUGCACAACUCUUUAAAUAACCGUGUUUUGCAAGGCCCCGGCCGAGCGGGUGACCUCUCUCCGGGAGGCACUGGGGGGAGGGUGUGGCCCCGGGGCCCUCUGGCCCCUGGCGGUCCCCGGCGACCACCCGGCACCCCCCACCCCUGCCUGCUCCCUGCCCGGGAAUGCCUCUGCCUUGGGGUUGUCAUAAAGUGGGGGUAGGGGCCGAGGACAAAGGGCUCCUGGGGGAGGGGUCUGGAGGGGGGUGGGCGUCGCCAGCUUGGGGUUAAUGGCGGCCUGGGGGCCCCAGGCUGGGCCCAGGGGAGCUCUGGGGUUCCCACCUGCCCCCUCCACCAGCCCCAACGUGGAGGCCUGCCCUGCGCCCCUCCCCCACCGGGCGACCCGGAAGGGUCAUUAAACCCAGCAGGCCUGGGGGUGGGAGGCUGGGGGGGGAGUGGCUUCCUCUGGCCUCUUCCUUCUGCCCCCCAAAGGGGAGGGGGGACGAGGCCUGGAGCGUUUCCGUGCAGGGGGGGGCUCGUCUUGAAGUUGUCAAAUGUGGGGGAGGGGCAGUGGCCCAGACUGGACGGUGGGCCUGAAGUGUCCCCUCAGCACUUCUUGNUGGUCACCCCCCAGCACUGUGGGCCCGGAGAGGGUCUUUGUACCCUGAGAGCCCUGCCUCUGCUGGACACCGGGGUCCUCCCCAGACGUGUCCCACCCCCACUUCCCACAGGGGCUGCCCCCGCCCCCCUGCCCUUCCAGCCAUCCAGAUGGAAGCCCCGGGGUGGUGGGGUCUGGGGAGAAGGCAGCUCCUGGGGCUCUGCCUGGGGAGGUGGGGGGCCCUAUGCUGAAGGCUCCCCUGAGGGGGGUCAGUGUCAGCUCAGGGGGUCACCGUGGGGGUCAGGAGGGUGGCCAGCCUGCUGAUGGGGCAUCCACCAGCUACUCCUGGGGGGUGGGUUCCUGUCUGCCCCAGCAGUAGCUGGGGUCCCUUUGCUGGGUUGGGGCAGCUCCUG
rnacentral:lncRNA from 1 species